rnacentral:rRNA from 1 species
GACGAACGCUGGCGGCGCGCCUAACACAUGCAAGUCGAACGGAGUCAAGAGGAGCUUGCUUUUCUUGACUUAGUGGCGAACGGGUGGGUAACGCGUGAGUAACCUGCCCUGGAGUGGGGGACAACAGUUGGAAACGACUGCUAAUACCGCAUAAGCCCACGGAUCCGCAUGGAUCUGCGGGAAAAGGAUUUAUUCGCUUCAGGAUGGACUCGCGUCCAAUUAGCUAGUUGGUGAGGUAACGGCCCACCAAGGCGACGAUUGGUAGCCGGACUGAGAGGUUGAACGGCCACAGUGGGACUGAGACACGGCCCAGACUCCUACGGGAGGCAGCAGUGGGGGAUAUUGCACAAUGGGGGAAACCCUGAUGCAGCGACGCCGCGUGGAGGAAGAAGGUUUUCGGAUUGUAAACUCCUGUCGUUAGGGACGAUAAUGACGGUACCUAACAAGAAAGCACCGGCUAACUACGUG